rnacentral:rRNA from 1 species
GAUUAACGCUGGCGGCGUGCCUAACACAUGCAAGUCGAACGAGGUAGCAAUACCUAGUGGCAGACGGGUGAGUAACGCGUGGUCAACCUACCGUUGAGUGGGGGAUAACUAGCCGAAAGGUUAGCUAAUACCGCAUACGUCUCCGAGGGGCAUCCCCUGGCGAUAAAGGAGCAAUCCGCUCGAUGACGGGACCGCGUCCCAUUAGCUAGAUGGUGGGGUAACGGCCUACCAUGGCACCGAUGGGUAGCUGGUUUGAGAGAGCGACCAGCCACACUGAGACUGAGAAACGGCCCAGACUCCUACGGGAGGCAGCAGUGAGGAAUUUUCCGCAAUGGGCGCAAGCCUGACCGGAGCGACGCCGCGUGUGGGAAGAAGGCCUUC